rnacentral:rRNA from 1 species
AGUUUGAUCAUGGCUCAGAUUGGACACUGGCGGAUGCUUUACAUGCAAGUCGAACGGCAGUACGGACUUCAGUCUGGUGGCGAGUGGCGAACGGGUGAGUAAUGUAUCGGAACGUGCCUAGUAGCGGGGGAUAACUACGCGAAAGCGUAGCUAAUACCGCAUACGCCCUUCGGGGAAAGCAGGGAUGGCGGGCCUCAUAUGGAAACGGCCGAUAUCGGAUUAGCUAGUUGAGGUGGGGUAACGGCUCCGCAAGGCGACGAUCCGUAGCUGGUUUGAGAGGACGACCAACCACACUGGGACUGAGACACGGCCCAGACUCCUACGGGAGGCAGCAGUGGGGUACGGACAAUGGGGAAACCCUGAUCAGCCAUCCCGCGUGUGCGAUGAAGGCCUUCAGGUUGUAAAAGCACUUUUGGCAGAAAGAAACGGCACGGGAUAAUACCCGUGCAACUGACGGUACAGGAAUAAGCUGCCGGCUAACUACGUGCCCAGCAGCCGCGUGUACGUAGGUGCAAGCGUUAAUCAACACUGGGCGUAAAGCGUGCGCAGGCGGUUCCGGAAAGAAAGAUGCUGAAAUCCCAGAGCUUAACUUUGGAACUGCAUUUUUAACUACCGAGCUAAGAGUGUGUCAGAGGGAGGUGGAAUUCCGCGUGUAGCAGUGAAAUGCGUAGAUAUGGAGGAGCACGUGGCGAAGGCAGCCUCCUGGGAUAGCCACUGACGCUCAUGCACGAAAGCGUGAGAGCAAACAGGAUUGAAUGCCCUGGUAGUCCACGCCCUAAACUGAUGUCGCUAAGCUGUUGGGGCCUUCGGGCCUUGGUAGCGCAGUUAACGCGUGAAGUUGACCGCCUGGGGGGAGUACGGUCGCCAAGAUUAAACUCAAAGGAAUUGACGGGGACCCGCACAAGCGGUGGAUGAUGUCUGGUUAAUUCGAUGCAACGCGAAAAACCUUACCUACCCUUGACAUGUCUGGAAUCCCGAAGAGAUUUGGGAGUGCUCGCAGAAGAACCGGAACACAGGUGCUGCAUGGCUGUCGUCAGCUCGUGUGAGAUGUUGGGUUAAGUCCCGCAACGAAGCUGUGCCAUCCAUUAGAUUGCUACGAAGGGCACUCUAAUGAGACUGCCGGUGGCAAACCGGAGGAAGGUGGGGAUGACGUCGAGUCCUCAUGGCCCUUAUGGUGAGGCUUCACACGUCAUGCAAUGGUCGGGACAGAGGGUCGCCGCCCGCGAGGAGAGCCAAUCCCAGAAACCCGAUCGUAGUCCGGAUCGCGUCUGUCGACUGCGUGAAGUCGGAAUCGCUAGUAAUCGCGGAUCAGCAUGUCGCAGUGAAUACGUUCCCGGGUCUUGUACACACCGCCCGUCACACCAUGGGAUGUGGGUUUUGCCAGAAGUAGUUAGCUAACGUAGGAGAGGGCGAUUACCACGGUAGGAUUCGCGACUGGGGUGAAGUCGUAACAGGGUAA